AACGAACGCUGGCGGCAGGCUUAACACAUGCAAGUCGAACGCCCCGCAAGGGGAGUGGCAGACGGGUGAGUAACGCGUGGGAACAUACCCUUUCCUGCGGAAUAGCUCCGGGAAACUGGAAUUAAUACCGCAUACGCCCUACGGGGGAAAGAUUUAUUGGGGAAGGAUUGGCCCGCGUUGGAUUAGCUAGUUGGUGGGGUAAAGGCCUACCAAGGCGACGAUCCAUGGCUGGUCUGAGAGGAUGAUCAGCCACAUUGGGACUGAGACACGGCCCAAACUCCUACGGGAGGCAGCAGUGGGGAAUAUUGGACAAUGGGCGCAAGCCUGAUCCAGCCAUGCCGCGUGAGUGAUGAAGGCCUUAGGGUUGUAAAGCUCUUUCACCGAUGAAGAUAAUGACGGUAGUCGGAGAAGAAGCCCCGGCUAACUUCGUGCCAGCAGCCGCGGUAACAC
rnacentral:rRNA from 1 species